UUUUAAUUGAAGGCUUGUAUGAAAGGUUGGACAAGGGAUAAGCUGUCUUUGUUUUUAUUUUUGAAUUUGUCUUUUAAGUGAAAAGACUUAAAUAGUUUUAAGGGACGAUAAGACCCUAUAAAUCUUUAUAUUAAUAUUUUUUUAUUUGAGUUUUUAAUGUUUAUAAAAAUAAAAUUGUAGAAUAUUAUAUUGGGGUGAUAAGAAUAAUAAGAAUAAACUGUUCUAAGGUCUAAACAAAGUUAUUUGAGUAAAGAUUUGUGGAUCCUUUUUGUAGAUUAAAAGUUUAAGUUACUUUAGGGAUAACAGCGUUAUUUUUUUUGAGAGUUCUAAUCGAAAAAAAAGUUUGCGACCUCGAUGUUGAAUUAAAAUUUCUUUAUGGUGCAGCAGCUAUAAGAGAAAGUCUGUUCGACUUUUAAAAUUUUACGUGAUCU
rnacentral:rRNA from 1 species